GGGGGGGGGUUCACCCAUUCCCCCCUACACCGCAGCCCCCCCCCCAGCUGUGCAUCAGCGCCCUGCAGAGCAUUGACCUCCCGGCCAUGUGCCCCACCUGGGCCAGGCCCUGCGGGGGAUUCCCAGCUCUUCCCGCACACUCACUCACUCACUCACCCUAAGGCUACGGAGAUCAGCUCUCGGCUCACCCGUUGCCUCCCAUACCCACCCCAUCCUGCUCAAAGUCCACAGGCCCCAUUCUCAAGCUUUAUUUUUGCCAUUUUCCACACCGUUCUCUCACCCCGCCCCCCGUUCAGCCCUACGGGAUUGUAUUUCCACUGCAAGACCCCUCCGUGCCUGGCCCAGAAACCCCCACCCCAGGUCCCCCCCUCCCUGUUUGCCCUGCACACAUCCCACUAAACAUUAACUCCUGCGGGUCAAACCACCACCCCCAGCUCUGCCCUUGUGCUCCCGAGCUCUGAUCCACGGGGAGGGACUUUCAGCCCAUCCUUGCGACGAUCCCCUUAAACUUCUCCAUCGUUUCUCCACCGAGAUAAGAGCCGUCAGGAACCGCCUUCUUCUUUCCAUUCCGUUCGGUUGGCAGCUAAGAGGAACGUUCUCCAGUUGCUGGAAUGCUUCGUGCAAGCCUUGCUUGCUCCUCUCCUCUCGGUUACCUUUGGACAUGGAGGUGCUGAGCUCUGAGCUGCUGCUUCUGCACUCUGCUCUGCUCCUUCCCACCACCAUUUCACCAUCAGUCUGCGCUCAGCCCCACCUGCCCUGUGCCCACAGCACCCCCCCAUCCCAUGCCAUGAGCUGCUGAGGGCUGUGGGGCCGAUGGGAGCAGCUCACAGCUGCUGCAGCUCUCUGCAGAGGGCAGAUGUGGCAAAAGCAGAUCUGACUGCGAGACGUCUCCUCCUCCCACAUCCCCGAAUAUUUCGUUCGGUGAGCUGAAUCACCCCCAUCCAACCACUAAAAAUAGUGGCUUUUCCAUUACUUGCAACGGAACGGUGCAACCUCUCCAUUCCCCGCUUCUCCUAUUUCCAGAUAGGCAUAAAAAAGCCCCCCCAAAAACUCCCAGAGGCGGCCAAGAACAGUGCAGAUGUGGCCCGUGGGGACACAGUGGGGUGGGUUGGUGCUCUCUGAGGUCCUCCCCAUCCUUUGUGGCUCUGUGCAGCCUGAGCCGAUGCCAUCCCGAAGCUCCAUAAGGAAUGCUGUGCAUGGGCUCCCGAAGUCACCCCAGCAACUGCAACAGCAGCUCCAAACGCUGUCACUUUUGCCCACGCUGCGCUCUCAGCCCUUUUGGGAAGUCACUGCGUCACGUCCCACAACACCCAGGGAAGUGCCAGCUCUUAUUUCAAGCUUUUCUUUCGGCAAAUCUGGUUUCUAGAUGUUAUGCCUGUGCUCUGUUCCAUUUUCAGCACAGGCAGCUCAGGCUUUUUCUUCUUUCCUUCGCUUCUUAAUUUCACUCGUGACCCUAAGUUACCUCCUUUUUUAACCUGUGUAAUUAGCAAGUCCUUAAAACACUCGGCUUCAUUAACAGAACACGGAUUACAUAAAUUAGACGCAUUCUUUAGCACAACUCCACUUGCCUACCAAAAACUCCAUCGCCACAAUGAAGAACAGUGGAGGAGUGGCACCCGGGGGCAGUCGGUGGGCACUGUGGGGUGGGUUUGGUCAUCUUAGAGGUCUUUUCCAGUCCUAAUGAUGCUGUGAUUCUAAGAUCCAACUUCCCCGAACACAACUGAAAGGAGAAGGCUGGCACUGCUGCUUCCAAGCCCACCUGCACAAUGCUUGCUUACGGCUUCCCCAUUUCCUAUCAGGGCUCGCUCCCAAUUCCCUCUGCUGCUGCUCUGCAGCCAUUUGCCAAGCAGCCCCAAGUUGGGGAGCUGCCCCCAAGAGCUGCUGUGGGUCUCACACCUCUCAGCUGUGCCUCCAGCACAGCCCUCUGCUGUCUGCAGUCGCUGUGCAAAGAGGGCUCAGCACUGUGCUGGCACCGUCCUCAGCUGAGCAUCCUCAGAGCAUGGCUGUCACCCAAAGCCACCCCCUGCACACAGGCAGGGAGUUAAGAACGCUGUACUGAAGGCAAAGCAGAGGUGUAAGAGCACAUUAAGCCGUUUUCUGGAUGUGGAAAUAGAUCAAUAUAACUACAGCAAAGUUAUUAUUACCACCGUAGCCACGCGAGUGUAACUCCCUCCAUAAUUCUGUGACAGCCACUUCUAUUUCAGGUCAAGUGUGCAAAUGCAGAACUUGCAACACCCUACCGAGAAUAUUAACUGUUACAAAGACCAAGUCCUAAAGAGAGAAUACCUGAAGGAGCUCUAACUCGACUUUCUGCACUGCUCUCCGAGCAAAAGGAAUCAUGCAAACAUCAUGCAAAGAACACACGCUUUGAGCACAGCGCGGGAGAGGUGGUGCAGCCUGGAGAAGGACUAUAAAAAAAGCCCUCGGUGGUGUGUGGGAAGGCUUAGGGGAAUAUUUCAGCACAUCAGGAGCUGAAUCACUGCAUGUAGGUGGAGCCAGACAGAUUGACAAGAUCUGCAACUUGAAAAAUGACCUAAGCCUGAGAUCAAUCAUCUCGCAAAGUCGCUGACGGAGGGGAACAACAGAUGGAUGUGGAUGGAGCAGCACAUCAGGAAGGCACGCUGGGGGAAGCCGUGAGCAGACGUCUCGUUGCCAUGCAUGGGAUUAAUGAAGGAUGCAGCUUCCAGAAAGCCCAAACUCGGGGCCUAUUCAUCGCAAGAGCUGUACUUUGUCCAUGCAAAUGCACACAGCUCUCCUCAGCUGAGCAGUUCCUGAGCUCUGCCACUAGAGACAAACCACCACCAGGUCACUCCCUGCCCUACUAUUCCAGUUCUGCACCAUCUCGAAGCAUUUCCCUUUGUGACCCCGCGAGGUACCAAGAACGCACUCAACAUUAAGAGAUUAACUGAAUGGAUUCAAUGAUGGCUUGCCUUGUUUGGUAAAUAAAACUUAUUAGCAGCCGUUGGCACUGGGUCUGUG
rnacentral:lncRNA from 1 species